GGAGGUGUGGCCGAGCGGUUGAUGGCACCGGUCUUGAAAACCGGAGACCGUAAAGGUUCGUGGGUUCGAAUCCCACCGCCUCCA
rnacentral:tRNA from 1 species